GAUGAACGCUGGCGGCGUGCCUAAUACAUGCAAGUCGAGCGAACGGACGAGAAGCUUGCUUCUCUGAUGUUAGCGGCGGACGGGUGAGUAACACGUGGAUAACCUACCUAUAAGACUGGGAUAACUUCGGGAAACCGGAGCUAAUACCGGAUAAUAUUUUGAACCGCAUGGUUCAAAAGUGAAAGACGGUCUUGCUGUCACUUAUAGAUGGAUCCGCGCUGCAUUAGCUAGUUGGUAAGGUAACGGCUUACCAAGGCAACGAUGCAUAGCCGACCUGAGAGGGUGAUCGGCCACCCUGGAACUGAGCCACGGUCCAGACUCCUACGGGAGGCAGCAGUAGGGAAUCUUCCGCAAUGGGCGAAGGCCUGACGGAGCAACGCCGCGUGAGUGAUGAAGGUCUUCGGAUCGUAAAACUCUGUUAUUAGGGAAGAACAUAUGUGUAAGUAACUGUGCACAUCUUGACGGUACCUAAUCAGAAAGCCACGGCUAACUACGUG
rnacentral:rRNA from 1 species